GAUGAACGCUAGCGGCAGGCCUAAUACAUGCAAGUCGUACGGCAACACAGUUGCGAGCAAUCGCAACCGGUGGCGAGUGGCGCACGGGUGAGUAACGCGUAUGUAACCUACCCUUCUCCGGGACAUAACUCCGCGAAAGCGGUGCUAAUAUCCCAUACCAACUCAUCAAGACAUCUUCUUGAGUUGAAAGCAGCAAUGCGGUGAAGGAUGGGCAUGCGUCCCAUUAGCUGGUUGGUGAGGUAAUGGCCCACCAAGGCUACGAUGGGUAGGGGUUCUGAGAGGAAAGCCCCCCACACUGGUACUGAGACACGGACCAGACUCCUACGGGAGGCAGCAGUAAGGAAUAUUGGGCAAUGGUCGAAAGACUGACCCAGCCAUGCCGCGUGCAGGAUGAAGGCCCUAUGGGUUGUAAAACUGCUUUUAGCCGGGAAUAAACACCCGUUUUAUAACGGGCCCGAAGGUACCGGCUGAAUAAGGAUCGGCUAACUCCGUGCCAGCAGCCG
rnacentral:rRNA from 1 species